UACGUAGGGGGCGAGCGUUGUCCGGAUUUACUGGGCGUAAAGCGCGUGUAGGCGGUACUCUAAGUCCGGGGUGAAAUCCGGGGGCUUAACCCCCGAACGGCGCCGGAAACUGGAGCGCUUGAGUGUCGGAGAGGGGAGUGGAAUUCUCGGUGUAGCGGUGAAAUGCGUAGAGAUCGAGAGGAACACCCGUGGCGAAGGCGGCUCCCUGGCCGAACACUGACGCUGAGAAGCGAAAGCAUGGGGAGCGAACAGG
rnacentral:rRNA from 1 species